UUUCCGUAGGUGAACCUGCGGAAGGAUCAUUCAUAAUAAAGUGUUUUAUGGCACUUUUUAAAAAUCCAUAACCACCUUGUGUGCAAUGUUAGAUCUCGUCAAUCUUGGCGAGAUUUUUAUACAUCAACUCAUUCUUUAACUAAUUUGUCUGAAAAAUAUUAUGAAUACUUAAUUCAAAAUACAACUUUCAACAACGGAUCUCUUGGCUCUC
rnacentral:misc_RNA from 1 species